rnacentral:tRNA from 1 species
GCCUGGGUGGCUCAGUUGGUUGGGCGGCUGACUUCAGCUCAGGUCACGAUCCUGUGGUUCAUGGGGUUUGAGCCCCAUGUCAGGCU